UCAGCUUGAGUUCCAAAGUCAUUUAGGAGUUGCUCUGAGGACAGUGAAGCAAAACCAAGCUGGUGACUCUUCAAACCCGACCUCAAAUGGAUAGAACCUGGUGCCUACCAGAUGCAAGGUCAAAAAAGGAAGUGAGAACACCGAGGCCUUCCUUACAGAGCUGUCACCUAAUGGCCCUCGUUACUCCUCCCCUCUGCUUGGGGGGCCUGGGGUACCUGGGGGUCCGUCUCUAGAACUGCAGUGAGUCUCAAAGGAGGCUACUUCAGGAGUCUUUGUGACCUACAGGGUGGGUCUAUUGCUAUGCGGGGACCUCAGGGUACUACAGCUAAGGGUAGCACCAUCCCUGGGGACAAAAUGAGGUAAGAAGACCACCUAGAGCACAGCACACUGUGGUCUGUGCUCACGCAACCCGCGGCUUAAGUAGUGUUAUAAGGCCCAGGACCUGCAGCAGCCGGGUCUCAGCAGCCAGCAAUUGAUGACGCACAGCUCAAUCAAAUAUCAAAGUUAUUCUGGAGAAGGGUGUUGGAAAGAUACUUCCAUCAAGGGUCACCAGGGUCAGCUGCAUGCUGGACCGAGGACAAGAGCCAAGCUCCGGCCACAGCUCUGCUAACCGUGUACCACCCGCUGUCAUCUUUUCUACCGGAGAUACUAGACACUGCAUUCGCAUCGUGGUUUCCAGCACAGGGCACCGAGGAACCCAGACACCACAGCGAGCUCACAAAAGCGCUGCGGAAUGUUUAAAACUUCAAGGGACCCACGGUGAUAACCAGCACCACGGGAACUAGCUUGACCUCACUACAUUUCUUCUGAAGGAGUUCUCGCUCUGUAAAGCUAGGUUUUCAGUGGUUGCUGUAAUAAAAAGGAAGUAUGACGUAAAACUCAACAUGAGACAGGAAACUCGGCUGGGGAUGACACUCCAAUUCUAAUAUUUGAGGCACUGUAUGAUCCCCACAGAUACACACAUCCCAUUACAUAUGUGGACACAGUAAGAAGACACCAUCUAUGAGGAAGCCGGCACCAAAUCUACUAGCACCUUGACCUUGGACUUCACCCCUAGAACUCUUUCAGGACAUUCUGCAGGCGAACAGCCACGCAGGAACCCAGAUGCCGCCCCUCGCAGCACCCACACAGGCUCAGCCGGGUGGAAAGUGCCAGAGGUGCCCAGAACACGGCUCACUGCCAGCCGGCAUCGUCAAGUGGGUGGUAAAAUCCUGACAUCUUUUAAGCCCAUCCUCUUCUAGCACACACACAAACUAUUUUGUAAAUUAAACAGCUGAUGGAUCCUAA